rnacentral:lncRNA from 1 species
CUCUAUCUCCUUUCUUCUCUGGGAGAGAACAAAAAUGGAGAUAUCAGCUGCGUUAGUAACAGUUUCAGUAGCUAUAGUUGUUGUUUCGUGGUGGACAUGGGGAACUUUAAACUGGGUUUGGUUUAAACCAAAGAAGCUUGAGAUUUACCUGAGAAGCCAAGGUCUUUCCGGUAGUCCUUACACGCCACUCAUCGGCGACUUGAAGAGGACUUUUAGCAUGGCGAUGGAGGCAAGAUCCAAACCCAUCAAACUAACUGAUGAUAUCUCCACACGUGUCGUACCUUUUCCUUUAGAAAUGCUCAAGACUCAUGGUAUGUUAAAAUGUUUUCUUGUUAGCCUGAUGAUCAAGAAAAUAUCUCAACUUAGUUAUGCUGCUGAAACAGGAAGGACUUAUUUUACAUGGCUUGGAACUAUACCAACCAUAACUAUAAUGGAUCCUGAGCUAAUCAAGGAAGUGUUCAACAAAUUUUAUGAUUUUCAGAAGCCACAUACCUUCCCUUUAGGUAACGUGAUAGCCAAGGGACUUGCUAACUAUGAUGGUGAGAAAUGGGCAAAACACAGAAGAAUCAUCAAUCCGGCUUUCCACCUUGAGAAGAUUAAGGUUUAGGCUUCUUGUUUCAUUAACUUUAUGUAUGUUACGUUGUAUUGAUGCCUUCUGCUUCUAUGUGUAGAACAUGGUACCUGCGUUCCACCAAAGCUGCAGUGAGGUUGUUGGCAAAUGGGACAAGAUAGUAUCGGAGAAAGGUUCAUCAUGUGAGGUGGACGUGUGGCCAGGGCUUGUGAGUAUGACUGCUGAUGUGAUCUCUCGUACUGCUUUUGGUAGCAGCUACAAAGAAGGACAGAGGAUAUUUGAGCUCCAAGGGGAACUAGCUCAGCUCAUUAUACUAGCUGUUCUGAAAGCUUUCAUCCCUGGAUAUCUGUAAUAAAAAAAAAAACACUUCAACUUGUCUGCUUCUAACACAUUGAAGAUGGUAGUCAUGUUUUGUCAAAUUCUCUGUUUUAUUUUUUGCAUAGUUAUCUCCCAACAAAGGGUAAUAGAAGGAUCAAAGCAGCAGCUAGAGAAAUCAAAGUUAUACUGAGAGGGAUAGUCAACAAAAGGUUAAGAGCUAGAGAAGCUGGGGAAGCACCAAGCGAUGACUUGCUUGGUAUACUUCUUGAAUCUAAUUUGGGACAAGCUAAAGGAAAUGAAAUGAGCACUGCGGAUGUGAUGGAGGAGUGCAAGUUGUUCUAUUUCGCCGGGCAAGAGACAACUUCAGUACUUCUGGUCUGGACAAUGGUUAUGCUAAGCCAACACCAAGACUGGCAAGCUCGUGCAAGAGAUGAAGUGAAGCAAGUUUUUGGUGAUAAAGAACCUGAUACAGAAGGCCUGAACCAGCUCAAAGUUGUAAGUAGAACCAAAUCAAAAACCGUUAGCUGAUUUAACUUUUUUUUUAGUACUACGUACUCUUGCCGCAGUUAAGCAUGUUUAGGCGAGAGUAGUAGUAGGAUGAGUGACUUCAGUAAUUUUUGUGUGUGUUUUGUUGAUUAAUUUGAGGCUUCGCAGAUGACAAUGAUACUAUAUGAGGUCCUUAGGCUAUAUCCUCCAGUAGCUCAGCUGACCAGGGCCAUUCACAAAGAGAUGAAGCUAGGUGACUUGACACUACCACGCGGUGCUCAGAUCAGUCUACCUAUUCUUCUAGUCCAUCGUGACACACAGCUAUGGGGCGAAGAAGCGGCGGAGUUUAAGCCAGAGAGGUUCAAAGACGGUGUCUCAAAGGCAACAAACGGCAAAGUGUCUUUCUUUCCCUUUGCGUGGGGACCAAGGAUCUGUAUUGGUCAGAGUUUUGCUCUGUUGGAAACAAAGAUGGCUCUGGCUUUGAUUCUAAAGAGAUUCUCCUUUGAGCUAUCUCCUUCCUAUGUUCAUGCGCCUUACGCUGUCAUCACACUUCACCCACAGUUCGGUGCUCCUCUGAUCCUGCGUAAGCUAUAAUUCUGUGUGAUAUAGUCCAAUGACCUUAUCAUUCACUGAAGCGGGUCCAGGUCAUAACACAACUCAUUAUGGUAUUAUGUAUUCAAGUCAGAACACAGUGUCGUCUCACAUAUUAAAACCCUUUGAGUAGAGAUUCUCUGUUGUGAAAAUAAGACCCAAUAUGAGAGAAUAAACGUGCAAAACACACGUUAGCUUGGUCCUAAUCAAAGCUUCUAGAUAUAAAACACAAGAACUCAAACUCAAAAGUUUCUACUCUCCAUAGGUUUCCAUUCCAAUUUUUGCUACGCUAAUAUCACCUGAAAAAACAUUUAAGAUCUGUACCAGAGAAAGAUUCUAACAUUUCUAUUAUUUAUUUCUCGAUAAAACAAAAAUAUUUAAUCAUUACGUUUCAAAGAACAAAAACAAAACAGUAAUUUGAAUGGAUGAUUUUAUUAACAAAGAAACGUCAAAAAAGUUGACGACGUUCGCACCUUACCUACCACUCAAGUUAUGACGACGAAUACACUUCUUGUCACCUUUGACACAAAUCCAAAUGUGUACUUCUUGGACCUUCGUGGCAUGUGACUUUAAGGCUCCAAGUACAGUAAAAGAUCAUUAGCCAAACAAAACUACUGGCUGAGAAUCCACAGAAUAUAUAUACUAUUUAACACAUUACCAAAAAUAAAGUUUUUAAGACAUCAGGGUGAUGUCAUCACCCCCACAAAUAUCUUCACCGAAAGUCUAAAUUUUUAAAGACCAAGAAUGUUAGCAACUUAUCCAUCUCUCUACCUCUCUCUUUUCUCUGUGAGAGAAAAUGGAGAUUUCAAUUGCAUCAGCAACACUUUCAAUAGCUAUAGCUGUUGUGUCCUGGUGGGCAUGGAGAACUUUAAACUGGGUUUGGUUUAAACCAAAGAUGCUUGAGAGUUACCUGAGAAGACAAGGUCUUUCCGGUAGUCCUUACACUCCUCUCGUCGGCGACUUGAAGAGGAACUUUAGCUUGCUGAAAGAGGCAAGAUCCAAACCCAUCAAACUAACGGAUGAUAUCACACC